rnacentral:lncRNA from 1 species
GACUUAAAGCUGUGGUCAGUGGAGGGAAGGUAGGAGCCUCCAGGGCGAAGGUGUACAGCUUCUCCGGUAUGGAAACAGUGCUAAGAUGUCAAAACUUAAACCUAGGUAAGGGGUGGCGAAUUGAUAUGACAAAGGCCACAAGCUGUGGAAGCAGCUACCAUCUGACUCCACAGGACCUUGAUUGAUAUUUGUGACUGGACACUUGGGGAGGAUCAGACAUUAGGAUCAAUUAAGAUGCAGUUCUUCUGGGCCAAAUGGCCAAGGAUAAUCAGAGAAAAUAAUAUCUUACACCAAAUAUACUAAGUGGAAAAAACUGCUCAGCAAAGUAGACUUCAGAAAUGAUUCUGACCCACAAUACCUUAAAAUGGGUGUGACUGGCAUUGUUUUUCUUUUCAAAAUGUACUAAGAUACGAGACUCCCUCACUCUCAACUCCCAUGCAGCGGCAGAUCCUCCAGGCUUCCUAACUCUGUGGUCAGAUCCAGUUCACCAAGGGAAAGCUUUUUAGGAAUUGAUUUUCACAGGAAGGAUUUUACUUGGCCAGGGACCACUUCUUAUCAUCCAGGAGAUUUAACAAGAUGUUUUCAGGCAUAUCUAGAAGAGGUGCAGGGCUUCUAACAUGGGCUUCUCGGGCCAUGUAUACAAUUAACCAGGAAUGAGGCCAGGGAUCUCACUGCUUAUUUGUUCACCCUGGGAGGAAGCCCUGGUUGCCUAGACUUUCAUUCAGGGAUCAAGAACAAAGGACAGAUGCAAAGACUUGCACAGUAUAUAGCUGAACAAGGAUCAGCAUUAGGCAGAAUAGGUAUCCAGAAAUCUACAUUGACACUCUGUUAAGGUGCCAGGAAUAACAACAAAGUGGAGAUAAAAAUUCUCUAUGGCAUGUAGGAUUCACAGGCAACACAAACAGGGAUCUUUCAGAAAAAGGCUCUGUAUCUUGAAGUGGAUUCUUUAAUGCCGGGCAUGGUGGCUCACGUCUAUAAUCCUAGGACUUUGGGAGGCCCGAGGUGGAAGGAUCACUUGAGCCCAGGAGUUUGAGACCAGCCCAGGCAACAGAGUGAGACCCCUAUCUCUACAAAAAAAUAGAAAAAAAUUAGCCGGGUGUGGUGGUGCAUGCUUGUAGUCCCAGCUACUUGGGAGGCUGAGGUGGAUCACUUGAGCUCCAGGAGGUCAAGGUUGCUGUGAACCGUGAUCGUGCAGUAGCACAAUCAUUGCUC